GUCAGCUCAGGCUCCAAAUAUGUAACAAACAGGUGGAGAGGUAUGAAGAACGAGGAACACUGCCCGGGGAGUUCCUUCCUCUGCAAAAUAAGGGAGUGUGUACUGAAUGACCGUUUCCAGCUCCAACAUCCAGGAUUUCAGCACUACCUGCAGAGUAGUGGGAGGAGAGAUAGAGGAAGAAGUGAAGAUAAGAAAUCCCUUGAAGCCAGUGUCUGGUGCUGGGACCGUGAUGGCUGGGACGGCAGCAGUAGUGCUGUCCAUCUGCUCGUCCGAGGGGUGGCACAUCCUAGCCUCUAUCUUUUCCCCAGAGAAGAUCCCCCUCGUCUGCUCUUCCCCCCGUCUCAGCCUUUUAGUGUGUGAACAGUUCUGGUGUGACUCAGCAGCGCUUUUGUUAGCGCUUUUACCAGCAAGUACUUGUUAAACACUUAAAUCUUACAAGUGGAAAGAAAAUUCCGUGGUAAAUUU
rnacentral:lncRNA from 1 species